UCUAGUAGCUGGUUCCCUCCGAAGUUUCCCUCAGGAUAGCUGGUGCAAUUAAAAAUUAUAUUAAAUAAUCUUAUCUGGUAAAGCGAAUGAUUAGAGGCCUUAGGGCCGAAACGACCUUAACCUAUUCUCAAACUUUAAAUGGGUAAGAACCUUGCCUUACUUGAUAUGAAGGUACAGGUUAUGAUAUAUUGUGCCCAGUGGGCCACUUUUGGUAAGCAGAACUGGCGCUGUGGGAUGAACCAAACGUGAUGUUACGGCGCCAAAAUUAACAACUCAUACUGAUACCAUGAAAGGCGUUGCUUGCUUAAAACAGCAGGACGGUGGACAUGGAAGUCGUAAUCCGCUAAGGAGUGUGUAACAACUCACCUGCCGAAGCAACUAGCCCUUAAAAUGGAUGGCGCUUAAGUUGUAUGCCUAUACAUCACCGCUAAAACAUAUGAUUUAUUAUAUACUAAUAAAUUUUAAAGUUUUAGUGAGUAGGAGGGUACAAUGAUGUGCAUAGAAGUGUUUGGCGUAAGCCUACAUGGAGCCGUCAUUGGUACAGAUCUUGGUGGUAGUAGCAAAUAAUCGAAUGAGACCUUGGAGGACUGAAGUGGAGAAGGGCUUCGUGUGAACAGUGGUUGAUCACGAGUUAGUCGGUCCUAAGUUCAUGGUGAAAACCAAAAAAUAUAUGUUAUUAAAAAUAAAAUUAUCAAAUUGAAAUGAAAAUAGUAUAUAUAAUAAUAUAUUAUAUAUAUAUAAAAAAAAAUUCCAUAAAUAAUAUAUAAUAAAUAAUACAUAUAGUAUGAACGAAAGGGAAUACGGUUCCAAUUCCGUAACCUGUUAAGUAUACGUUUGUUAUUAAAAAUGGGCUUUUAUGCUCAUCCUGGCAACAGAAACAAUCAUAAAGAAACCGUCGAGAGGUAUCGGAAGAGUUUUCUUUUCUGUUUUAUAGUUGUAUCACCAUGGAAGUCUUUCGAAGAGAGAUAUGGUGAAUGAACUAGAAGAGCAUAGCAUAUACUGCUGUGUCGAUAUUUUCUCCUCGGGCCUUGAAAAUUUAUGGUAGGGUUACGCAAACUUCUUAACAGGCCGUACCAAUAU
rnacentral:rRNA from 1 species